AAGUCGAACGGGAUUUAGUAAACAGAAGCCUCGGUGGAAGAUUACUAAUAAGAGUGGCGAACGGGUGAGUAACGCGUGAGCAACCUGCCUAUGACAGUGGGAUAGCCUCGGGAAACCGGGAUUAAUACCGCAUAAAAUCGUAGAAACACAUGUUUUAACGGUCAAAGAUUUAUCGGUCAUAGAUGGGCUCGCGUCUGAUUAGCUAGUUGGUGAGAUAACAGCCCACCAAGGCGACGAUCAGUAGCCGGUCUGAGAGGAUGAACGGCCACAUUGGAACUGAGACACGGUCCAAACUCCUACGGGAGGCAGCAGUGGGGAAUAUUGCACAAUGGGGGAAACCCUGAUGCAGCGACGCCGCGUGAACGAAGAGGGUAUUCGUAUCGUAAAGUUCUGUCCUAUGGGAAGAUAAUGACAGUACCAUAGAAGAAAGCUCCGGCUAAAUACGUGCCAGCAGCCGCGGUAAUACGUAUGGAGCGAGCGUUGUCCGGAAUUAUUGGGCGUAAAGGGUACGCAGGCGGUUUAAUAAGUCGAAUGUUAAAGAUCGGGGCUCAACCCCGUAAAGCAUUGGAAACUGAUAAACUUGAGUAGUGGAGAGGAAAGUGGAAUUCCUAGUGUAGUGGUGAAAUACGUAGAUAUUAGGAGGAAUACCAGUAGCGAAGGCGACUUUCUGGACACAAACUGACGCUGAGGUACGAAAGCGUGUGGAGCAAACAGGAUUAG
rnacentral:rRNA from 2 species